AGUGAACGCUGGCGGUAGGCCUAACACAUGCAAGUCGAACGGCAGCACAGUAAGAUCUUGCUCUUACGGGUGGCGAGUGGCGGACGGGUGAGGAAUACAUCCUAAUCUACUUUUUCGUGGGGGAUAACGUAGGUAAACUUACGCUAAUACCGCAUACGACCUACGGUUGAAAGCAGGGGAUCUUCUGACCUUGCGCGAUUGAAUUAGCCGAUGUCGGAUUAGCUAGUUGGCGGGGUAAAGGCCCACCAAGGCGACGAUCCGUAGCUGGUCUGAGAGGAUGAUCAGCCACACUGGAACUGAGACACGGUCCAGACUCCUACGGGAGGCAGCAGUGGGGAAUAUUGGACAAUGGGCGCAAGCCUGAUCCAGCCAUACCGCGUGGGUGAAGAAGGCCUUCGGGUUGUAAAGCCCUUUUGUUGGGAAAGAAAAGCAGCAGGUUAAUACCCCGCUGUUCUGACGGUACCCAAAGAAUAAGCACCGGCUAACUUCGUG
rnacentral:rRNA from 1 species